GAUUUUCUUUCCCCCGUCCCAGUCCCACCUCUCGUAGGACCCAUUCGAUUUUCUUUCCCCCAUCCCGGUUUUCUCCCUCUGGCCUGCUCCUCACGCCGGCGUUCCGCGCCGCCGCUGCCGACUGCUCCUCACGCCGGCAUCCCGCGCUGCCGUUGCCGACCUCCAGCCGUCGUCCAGUAACCGCUCCCAAACAACGGCAGCAUGGAUCCUGAUGUGGAGCUCCACUACGGCCCGAUCUGACCUGGGAGCGACCAGAUCCGUGCGUCUCCGCCUCGCUUCACGCGCCUCCAUGGUCCGCCGUCUUCCCGAGCGCCGGCGCCGCGCUCAGCCGCCGCCGUCCCAUGCCAUGGUAGCCUCCCCUCCAGAACGAUGUGUCAUGGCCGCCUCCCUGCCUCUCCCGCAGAGUUAACUCCCACCCGUACAUGAGCCCCAAGGCACCACGCGAUUCUGAUGAUACACGAACACUGGGUCGGUCCUCUAUCCGGCAGCUCCGUUGGGGAAGCACCAAGAUCCAAACUCCAAGUAUCCGUGGAUAUAGGGAACAGUUAUGGUACAAAUAGACUUGAUUGUACUGACAAUUUUCAGCUUGCACAUGGAUCCCUUAUAGUAUGCAAUCAAGCUUGAUGAUAAAUUCUUGGAGAGACGCUAGGUGCCAGGUAAGGUGACCCAAGACUAUUGCUUUCAGUUAUUCAAUGUUGUUCAUAUGGCAUAUUGCUAUUAGAUAUGCCAUUGCCUGCAGCGGCAAGCUUGAAUUGGUAAGAUGGAUGGGGGGAGAAAAGGAGUCAUUUAACGUAAUUUUGAUUACCGAUGCCUGCAUGAGCAGCUGCUCACUGUGCGCAUGGGAUAGGAGGUCAUGCGUGGAGGCUACUCGGAGAGGACUGUAUGCAUGUCCAUGUCCGCGCACUUGGAGCAGCAGCCAAUGGAUGGUCGGCCAGAGGAGGACCAGGG
rnacentral:rRNA from 1 species